rnacentral:rRNA from 1 species
GACGAACGCUGGCGGCGUGCCUAAUACAUGCAAGUAGAACGCACAGUUUAUACCGUAGCUUGCUACACCAUAGACUGUGAGUUGCGAACGGGUGAGUAACGCGUAGGUAACCUGCCUGGUAGCGGGGGAUAACUAUUGGAAACGAUAGCUAAUACCGCAUAAUAUUAAUUAUUGCAUGAUAAUUGAUUGAAAGAUGCAACUGCAUCACUACCAGAUGGACCUGCGUUGUAUUAGCUAGUAGGUGAGGUAACGGCUCACCUAGGCGACGAUACAUAGCCGACCUGAGAGGGUGAUCGGCCACACUGGGACUGAGACACGGCCCAGACUCCUACGGGAGGCAGCAGUAGGGAAUCUUCGGCAAUGGACGAAAGUCUGACCGAGCAACGCCGCGUGUGUGAAGAAGGUUUUCGGAUCGUAAAGCUCUGUUGUAAGAGAAGAACGGGUGUGAGAGUGGAAAGUUCACACUGUGACGGUAUCUGACCAGAAAGGGACGGCUAACUACGUG